GGGCCGGAGAAGCUGAAGGCGGCGUAGCCUCUGCCCUGCCCUCGUUUCCUGACCCAGGGAAAUUACAACCGGCUGGUGAACGAUUGCCGCCCGCACCACCGACUGAGAGCUCCGCCACUCGGCGGCUGCUGUAGUGCUCAGGCAACAAUUUUAUGUAAAAACCCAGCACGCCCCGUCCAGAAUUUACCCUGGGCUGGUGCUGAGGCAGGCCCGGCUAGGGUGAGCUCACUGAGCAGGUAAACUGGAGAGAGAGAAACAAGAGCUGUGAAAAUGAGAAAACUUGCCGAGGAGUGUAGCAUCAUCAAUCAGCUGCUAAUCUGCCAACAGUUCAUCUCGAGGCUCAGAUUAGUGUCCUUUCACUAAUGCCAAACAGUAAACAUUAUUUACACAUUCUGGAGCAACUUACUGCAAGAAUGGUCUUUUAGAAGUAAAUUUGAAAGUGGAUCCUUCAGUUGACAGAGCACGUCCUGCAGCAUAGCAACACCACCAAUCUGUAUGAAAAUCCAUGGACUGACAAGUUCUGGAUCAAGCCCUUGAGGUAUAUAUUAGAAAAACACUCUUUUGGUCAUCUGUAUUAGCAUAGCAUCUCCAGUGGCAGCUGGGAGCAGGGUUGUGUGAUGCUGGAGAUUGAAUAACCUUUCAAUAGGAAUGAUAUUUUUGUUCUUAAGAUGUAGAGAAAUUGAAAUCAAAGUGUGAGUAACAUGUGAUACUAACACCAGAGGCACCACAGACUGUAGAAAUGACACAGUAAUAACCACACAGAUUAACAGCUACCGUAACAGUCCUACAUCAGACCUGCACUGUCAGCCCCUAGAGCUAGACCACACCCAAAGUUUUAUCCCAGCUGACAGCCCCAACUGGUGAGACUAAGCUGUUGUGAGAGAUAAUCUAUUUGUUGUUAUCUCUUGCACAAUCUGUGAGAGAUCCUCUGUUUGUUAUCUCUUUUGCACCAUCCCAGUUCCCAGCCUCAGAGGCAGAGGGUGUACAGAGGUCCUUCCCACUCCUAUGCUUAUGCCACAAUAGCCCCAGGCAGUGCUACAGACCUGGGGAAGGGUGGCUGGAAAGCUGUUCAGGGGAAAAAGACCUGGGGGUGCUGGUCAUCAGCUGGCUGAACGUGCGCCAGGGGAUAUUCAGCUUGGAUAUCAGGAGGAUAUGCAACCCUUUGGGGUUGUUAGACAUUGGAAUGCGCUGCCCAGGGAGGUGCUAAAGUCACCAUCCCUGGAGAUGUUCAAGAAGUGACUCGUGGCAUUCAGUGUCAUGGUCUAGUUGACAUGGUGUUGUUUGUUCAAAGGUUGAACUUGAUGAUUGCAGGUCUUUUCCAACCUAAAUGGUUCUUUGAUUCUCUGAUUCUGUAAACAUGGCAGUGAAACUUGGUGGAACCUAGAAUAGUGGCCUGGGAUAGGUAUUGUUCAAUAAUACGCCUUCAGCAUGCUGAUAUUUGGUUUUCCUGUGACAAAUUAACUGAUAGUAAAUUUUUUUUUUUUGCUUCCAGUAGUUCUGCCAUUCCUGACAAUCUUGUACACUGUAUAGGCUGAAUC